GGUUGUGUAGUGUAGUGGUCAUCACUUUCCGUUUUGAACGCUCAGCGACAACUUCGGAACAACCCCGGUUCGAACCCGGGCACGACCU
rfam:Saitoella complicata NRRL Y-17804 DNA, contig: contig023, whole genome shotgun sequence.